CCCUGGUGAGCUCAGGUGGUAGAGCGCUCCACUGGAAAUGGAGAGGUCCCGGUCCGGACCAGGCG
rnacentral:tRNA from 1 species